rnacentral:rRNA from 1 species
UCGAGUUGUAAUUUGCAGAGGAUGUUAUGGAAUCUGUAUGGACUCAAGUUCUUUGGAAAAAGACGCCAUGGAGAGUGACAGACUCGUACUGUCCCCUACAUUUUCCACUGUAUAACUCCUUCAAAGAGUCGAGUUGUUUGGGAAUGCAGCUCAAAGUGGGACGUAAAUUUGUUCCAAAGCUAAAUACCGGCUAGAGACCGAUAGCGCACAAGUAGAGUGAUCGAAAGAUGAAAAGCACUUUGAAAAGAGAGUUAAAAAGCACGUGAAAUUGUUGAAAGGGAAGCUUAUGUCAUCAGCAAUGACGUCGCUGUUCAGCCUUUUGGUGUAUUCAGUGUUGUCAGGCUAGCAUCGAUUGGGAUAGUUGGACAAAAGUGUUGGAAAUGUAGCUCGCUUCGGGGAGUGUUAUAGUCCGAUACAGCACGCAACUCAUCUCGAUCGAGGACCGCUUAUAGGAUG